GACGAACGCUGGCGGCGUGCCUAAUACAUGCAAGUUGAGCACUGAAGGUUGGUACUUGUACCAACUGGAUGAGCAGCGAACGGGUGAGUAACGCAUGGGGAAUCUGCCUUUGAGCGGGGGACAACAUUUGGAAACGAAUGCUAAUACCGCAUAAAAACUUUAAACACAAGUUUUAAGUUUGAAAGAUGCAAUUGCAUCACUCAAAGAUGAUCCCGCGUUGUAUUAGCUAGUUGGUGAGGUAAAGGCUCACCAAGGCGAUGAUACAUAGCCGACCUGAGAGGGUGAUCGGCCACAUUGGGACUGAGACACGGCCCAAACUCCUACGGGAGGCAGCAGUAGGGAAUCUUCGGCAAUGGACGAAAGUCUGACCGAGCAACGCCGCGGGAGUGAAGAAGGUUUUCGGAUCGUAAAACUCUGUUGGUAGAGAAGAACGUUGGUGAGAGUGGAAAGCUCAUCAAGUGACGGUAACUACCCAGAAAGGGACGGCUAACUACGUG
rnacentral:rRNA from 1 species